GUGCUUGCUUCGGCAACACAUGUACUAAAAUUGGAAUGCUGCAGAGAAAUUAGCAUGGCCCCUGGACAA
ensembl:snRNA U6 U6 spliceosomal RNA